rnacentral:rRNA from 1 species
AUUGAACGCUGGCGGCAUGCUUUACACAUGCAAGUCGAGCGGCAGCGCGGGGGCAACCCUGGCGGCGAGCGGCGAACGGGUGAGUAAUACAUCGGAACGUGUCCUGGAGUGGGGGAUAGCUCGGCGAAAGCCGGAUUAAUACCGCAUAAGCUCUGAGGAGGGAAAGCGGGGGACCGGUAACGGCCUCGCGCUGUUGGAGCGGCCGAUGUCGGAUUAGCUAGUUGGGUGGGGUAAAGGCCCACCAAGGCGACGAUCCGUAGCUGGUCUGAGAGGAUGAUCAGCCACACUGGAACUGAGACACGGUCCAGACUCCUACGGGAGGCAGCAGUGGGGAAUAUUGGGCAAUGGGCGCAAGCCUGACCCAGCGACGCCGCGUUGGGGAAGAAGGCCUCGGUUGUAACC